GUGACUGCGUACCUUUUGUAUAAUGGGUCAGCGACUUAUAUUCUGUAGCAAGGUUAACCGAAUAGGGGAGCCGGAGGGAAACCGAGUCUUAAUUGGGCGUUAAGUUGCAGGGUAUAGACCCGAAACCCGGUGAUCUAGCCAUGGGCAGGUUGAAGGUUGGGUAACACUAACUGGAGGACCGAACCGACUAAUGUUGAAAAAUUAGCGGAUGACCUGUGGCUGGGGGUGAAAGGCCAAUCAAACCGGGAGAUAGCUGGUUCUCCCCGAAAGCUAUUUAGGUAGCGCCUCGUGAAUUCAUCUCCGGGGGUAGAGCACUGUUUCGGCUAGGGGGCCAUCCCGGCUUACCAACCCGAUGCAAACUGCGAAUACCGGAGAAUGUUAUCACGGGAGACACACGGCGGGUGCUAACGUCCGUCGUGAAGAGGGAAACAACCCAGACCGCCAGCUAAGGUCCCAAAGUCAUGGUUAAGUGGGAAACGAUGUGGGAAGGCCCAGACAGCCAGGAUGUUGGCUUAGAAGCAGCCAUCAUUUAAAGAAAGCGUAAUAGCUCACUGGUCGAGUCGGCCUGCGCGGAAGAUGUAACGGGGCUAAACCAUGCACCGAAGCUGCGGCAGCGACACUGUGUGUUGUUGGGUAGGGGAGCGUUCUGUAAGCCUGUGAAGGUGUGUCGUGAGGCAUGCUGGAGGUAUCAGAAGUGCGAAUGCUGACAUAAGUAACGAUAAAGCGGGUGAAAAGCCCGCUCGCCGGAAGACCAAGGGUUCCUGUCCAACGUUAAUCGGGGCA
rnacentral:rRNA from 1 species